rnacentral:rRNA from 1 species
GGAAUCUUCCGCAAUGGACGAAAGUCUGACGGAGCAACGCCGCGUGAGUGAUGAAGGCCUUCGGUUCGUAAAGCUCUGUUGUUAGGGAAGAACAAGUACCGUUCAAAUAGGGCGGUACCUUGACGGUACCUAACGAGAAAGCCACGGCUAACUACGUGCCAGCAGCCGCGGUAAUACGUAGGUGGCAAGCGUUAUCCGGAAUUAUUGGGCGUAAAGCGCGCGCAGGCGGUUUCUUAAGUCUGAUGUGAAAGCCCACGGCUCAACCGUGGAGGGUCAUUGGAAACUGGGAAACUUGAGUACAGAAGAGGAAAGUGGAAUUCCACGUGUAGCGGUGAAAUGCGUAGAUAUGUGGAGGAACACCAGUGGCGAAGGCGACUUUCUGGUCUGUAACUGACGCUGAGGCGCGAAAGCGUGGGGAGCA